rnacentral:tRNA from 1 species
CCAUUGGUGGUUCAGUGGUAGAAUUCUCACCUUCCAUGCAGGGGACCCAGGUUCAAUUCCCGGCCAAUGCA